UGGCAUGGCAAGCUCAGCUCCAACAAGGCCAAGGAAACAGGAGGAAGAACGUGUCAAGGGUCCCGCCUUCUCUCCUGCGCGGCCCCUGGACCAAAGCUCUGAGGGAUUCAGUGCAGGACCAAGACAUCCUGAUGUUCCCUGUUCUCUGGAGCUUGAGUCACCUGCAUCGAGAAGGAAGUGGGGCAAACAGCUCCAAGUUCCUGGAAUCACAUGAGGCUCUUUCCAUAGAUGAGCUGACAAAACAGAGAAAUUGGGUAGAGGGUGGGAAGCAGAGACUGCUCCCUGGAAGAGCCAGCGAGGAGAAACCACUCAGUGGGAAAGGAGGUCAGAGCCGAGGUGAAAAUGAUCUCAGGACAGGGAGGUCUUGGAGGGCGAGCUCAGGGGGAAAGUUCAGGAGGUUUUUACCUGACUCUACAGAAAGCUGUGCUGAGUUAAGGAGUGAGUCAUAGAUUUGAAAUCUGAUGACCUAAGGGUUAUGAGAGGAAUCCGGCUCCUAGGAGGCAACAGAUGUAGCAGCGAAGAGCAUAAGCUUGGAGCAGAAAAGAGCUGGGUCCAAAUCUCAGCUGUGUGUCUCUGGCCAAGUUAGUGCGUCUCAGUUUCCUUAUCUGUAAAAAUGAGUAUGUCUCCCACGGUGUUGCUGAGAGGAUGUGAGCACUAGUGAGGUCCCUGGCGCUUGAUACAUGGUAGUUCCAGCUCUCUAAAGGACGGAACAGAGGAUGGGAUGUUUCUUGAUCCUUUUUGGGUAACUCUGGCUCUGCCCCGAGGGUGGCAAGAAGGGGCACAGUCAGAGAGAAAUUCCUCGUGGGAAUAAUGCCUAAUGCACUUCUAGGAACAAUGAUGUCUGAUGUUGCAUUUGAAAUUAUUUCCUGCCCCAAGCCAUAAUAGCUCUGUCUACUCUCAUUAGCCACAACAUCUUCAGGAAAGUCUGUUACGGGCAACUGCUUUGUGUUAGUGGUGUUUUGCAACAGAAAGGAGACAGGCCAAGGCUAUGCUUAGGCUCCGUCCGGGGAUGGUAGAGAGGAAAGAGCAAGAAUGGAGCAGGAAGCAGGAUUGCAGAGCCCGGGUGGGGUGGGGGUUGGCAUUAAGGAGGGCAAUUCUGUCUCCACAGUGAAUAGCAAAGGCAAGAGUGGCCUGAGGAGGGAAGAAGACUUGCUAACACCCAGGUUAUAGCAACACAGGUGCAACCACCACAGGUAGAAGAAAUCGGGAACAGCCUUUUUUUUUUUUUUUUUUUUUUUUUUUUUUUUGUCUUUUUGCCAUUUCUUGGGCCGCUCCCGCGGCAUAUGGAGGUUCCCAGGCUAGGGGUCCAAUCGGAGCCAUAGCCGCCGGCCUACACCACAGCCACAGCAAUGCGGGAUCCCAGCCGCGUCUGCAGCUUACACCACAGCUCACGGCAAUGCUGGAUCCUUAACCCACGAAGCAAGGCCAGGGAUUGAACCCGAAACCUCAUGGUUCCCAGUCGGAUUCGUUAACCACUGUGCCACGCCGGGAACUCUUCAGUCAAGCUGACUCACUUGGAGUAGCUCUAGAACAUUCUAAUUAGACUGUACCCGCUACGUUUAUAGAGCCAGCAUCUCUGAGUGUCCGCCGUGGCUCCUCCGUGCAUCCUCUUCUUCCUCAUCUGUGUGAGAGGGAGGUUUCCCCAGGUUGCCAGCCUCCAGUGUUGGCAAGAUGAAAAUUAAAGGUAGCCAAAUAAGAUAGGGCUCAAAGGGGGACGAGUUUCUAGGAUGGCUCACACCUGUUGUCGGUCGUGCUGUGUCCCCAACUGCUGCUCCAAUACCACCGAUGAAAUGGCUCGUGAACCCCUUGGGCAAUGCACCAGCCACCGAGGCCACUAUCCUCAGCCCUGGCUCACCUCUAGGUCAGUGCUCUUUUUUUUUUCAUUGCCACACCUGCAGCAUAUGGAAGUUCCCAGUCUAGGGUUAGAAUUGGAGCUGCAGCUGCAGGCCUAUGCCGCAGCCACUGGCAACACCAGAUCCAAGCCGUACCUGCAACCUCUGCUGAGCUUGCAGCAAUGCCCAUUCUUAAUCCACUGAGCAAGGCCAGGGAUUGAACCCCACCCUCACAGAGACUACAUUGAGUUUUUAACCUGCUGAGCCACAAUGGGAACCCCACACAGGCCUUCCCAGCAGAGCCACCCUCACACUCAGGUGGGAGCAUGCUCUUCUCAGAUUCUUCUUUUUACUCAUUCACCCAUGAUGCCACUGAGUCUGCCCCCUCUGCCCAGGACGUCACAGACAAGGGCUGAACUUCUGGCAUUCAUCAGUUCCAAUGUCUUUAUAUAACCCACAUUCACCCAGGUAAGGGGCUUGAAAGCCCUUUGCAAGCAUCCAUCAGCCUCCGGAAUUGCCUCAGACCGUCUCCCAUGUGCCCGCUUUCCUCUCAUUCGUUAUUCUCGGCUUUCCCACCGGGAACCUCUCCCUUUCUCCCUGCUGCAUCCUCCUCCCCCAUUUCCAUUCCACACACCUCAGCUCCUGUCCUUCACCAUGGACCCGAAUCCCAGACUUCAACCCCUGCAUUCCUCUGGACAGAAGCCUGGCUCUCCUCUACCUCUAAUACCUACAGCUGCAUUGAAAGCUAU
rnacentral:lncRNA from 1 species